rnacentral:rRNA from 1 species
GACGCACGCAGGCGGCGUGCUUAACACAUGCAAAUCGAACAUGAUUUAGUGGAAAUUCUUACGGGAAUGGAAAUGAAAUGAAAGUGGCGAACGGGUGAGUAACACGUGAGCAACCUACCUUACACAGGGGGAUAGCCGUUGGAAACGACGAUUAAUACCGCAUGAGACCACAGAAUCGCAUGAUAUAGGGGUCAAAGAUUUAUCGGUGUAAGAAGGGCUCGCGUCUGAUUAGCUAGUUGGAAGGGUAAAGGCCUACCAAGGCGACGAUCAGUAGCCGGUCUGAGAGGAUGAACGGCCACAUUGGAACUGAGACACGGUCCAAACUCCUACGGGAGGCAGCAGUGGGGAAUAUUGCACAAUGGGGGGAACCCUGAUGCAGCGACGCCGCGUGAGCGAAGAAGGUUUUCGAAUCGUAAAGCUCUGUCCUAUGAGAAGAUAAUGACGGUAUCAUAGGAGGAAGCCCCGGCUAAAUACGUGCCAGCAGCCGCGGUAAUACGUAUGGGGCGAGCGUUGUCCGGAAUUAUUGGGCGUAAAGGGUACGUAGGCGGUUUUUUAAGUCAGGUGUGAAAGCGUGAGGCUUAACCUCAUUAAGCACUUGAAACUGGAAGACUUGAGUGAAGGAGAGGAAAGUGGAAUUCCUAGUGUAGCGGUGAAAUGCGUAGAUAUUAGGAGGAAUACCGGUGGCGAAGGCGACUUUCUGGACUUUUACUGACGCUCAGGUACGAAAGCGUGGGGAGCAAACAGG